UGUAAAAAUUAACCUAGAAAUGACAAAAUCAUCAAUUAGGUUUCAUUUGUCUUUGUUAGAAAAAACGAAAAGAUAGACUAGCUGAAUAUAAUAAUCUGUUCAAAUAUGAGAAGAAGAAGUAAAAGAGACGAAUUGAGAAACUCAAGUUUUGAUUUGUGGUUGAUGCUAAAAGCUUUCAAGUACAUGAGUAUUUAUAGGUACU
rnacentral:lncRNA from 1 species